GUCAUAUUGAACGUUACUUGUCGUUACAUAGGGGGGGGGGGUCGAAAGUCUGUUUUUUUAGCGUUACGUAAUUUGUGUACGUCGCUCAAACCCUCUUGCGUUACGAUGCGGUUUCCAAAGAAUCCGAUUGUGGGGAAACUGUGGAUGGACUUUUGCUGUUUUCAGGCAUACUAUUCUAUUACCGGAAACACCCGAUUUUGCAGUGUAAGUAAAUUAGAAAAUGAUUGCGAGUGAUGGAUAAAAUGAUUUUUUUUAUUUUGAAUAGCUUCAUGUGAAUUACGAGCUGGAUUUGACUUGGCCGCAGCAAACGGGAAGCUGAGACCUAUACCUGGUGCACCUCAAGGUUUCCUAUGCCGAACUUAAGUGAAACAAACCAGCAUGGAAGAGAGACUGCUUCUGACGUUGUCACUGCUGCUGCUUCUGGACUACUACUGCUGCUGGGAUUACUGUUGCUCCUGGGAUUACUGUUGUUGGUGGGAGUUUUGAUACUGCUGCUGACAUUGCUGCCGACCAUAAAUUGUUUCCUCCAAGCAUUUCCGUGGAAACUAUUACAGGUUCAGAAAGGUUCAAAGGGAUCGGUAGACUUCCUUCAGCGGGAAAGCCAAGACAGAUACCAAUAGUUCAGCAGUUGCGACAUUGAUCGGACAAGCAAGCCUACACAACUUAAACGCUGCGUUCGUAUACGUGUUUUGUCUUUAUCAGGAACAAUUCAAUUAAGUAAUUUAAAAGAAAUCAGAAAAAAAAAAUUAUAUGUUUCCAUUAAACUCUACUAGAAAUUUGAGAAGUAAAUUUUGAAAAUAUUACUAGU